rnacentral:sRNA from 1 species
CCAACCAAUUGCCCCGCUGCGUGCUUGGUUUCCCUGCUAACUCAUGAUAUUAUAUAAUGUCAUGCCAGUAGUUAACUAACUAUUGCUCUAAUUAUCAAUGGUUAUCGCUGAAUCCAGAGUCUGCCCUUUCCGUGCAUCUUCCUGCUUUCUAUUGUUAUUGUUGCUGUCUGCCUUUGCCGAGGGCCUCCACUCAAUGUCUUUUAUAUAAAUAACAGAGCGCUCUCUCCUCUUAAUCUCUCCAAUUCUUAGAGUUUUUUUUUUUUUUUAAUAUAUUCUCUUUAUACCCGAUGAGUAGUAGCUAAGAUUCUCCAUGCAUAUAAGCAAAUGCAGUAGUAUAAAUAAAUAUC